CGUAGGUGGCAAGCGUUACUCGGAAUCACUAGGCGUAAAGCGCAGGUAGGAGGUUUGGUAAGUCUGUUGUGAAAGCUCCCGGCUCAACUGGGAGAGGCCAACGGAAACUACCAGGCUGGAGUGCGGUAGAGGUAGCUGGAAUUCCCGGUGUAGCGGUGAAAUGCGUAGAUAUCGGGAGGAAUACCUAUGGCGAAAGCAGGCUACUGGACCGUCACUGACUCUGAUCUGCGAAAGCUAGGGGAGCAAACAGGAUUAGAUACCCUGGCAGUCCUAGCCCUAAACGAUGCUCAUUAGGUGUGGUAGGUAUCGACCCCUUCCGCGCCGAAGCUAACGCAUUAAAUGAGCCGCCUGGGGAGUACGGCCGCAAGGUUG
rnacentral:rRNA from 1 species